UUCUGGGUGGUCUUGGCCUGUUUUGGGGCAGAACUGGCCCAUUUCGGGGCGGUCACAGCCUGUUCCAGGGUGGAUUUGGCCGGUUACGGGUGGUCUCGGCCCAUUUUGGGGCAGAUUCAGCCUGUUUCAGGCUCAUUGGGCCCAUUCCGGGUGGAUUCAGCCCGUUCUGGGUGGUCUUGGCCUGUUUUGGGGCGGAUCCGGCCCAUUUUGGGCCGAUUCGGCCCAUUCCGGGUGGUCUUGGCCUGUUUUGGGGCAGAUCCGGCCCAUUUUGGGCCGAUUCGGCCCAUUCUGGGUGGCCUUGGCCCGUUUUGGGGCGGAUCCGGCCUGUUCCGGGGCAGACUCGGCCCGUUCCAGGCAGAUCUGGCCCGUUCUGGGUGGUCUCAGCCCGUUUCGGGGCAGAUCCGGCCCAUUCCGGGUGGUCUUGGCCGCUCCUCUUGGUCUUCGGGGUGGAUUCAGCCUGUUUCAGGGCAGAUUUGGCCCGUUUUGGGGCGGAUCUGGCCCAUUUUGGGGUGGAUUCGUCCCAUUUUGGGCAGAUUCGGCCCGUUGCGGGUGGUCUCGGCCCGUUUCGGGGCCGGUCCCACCUGGCGGCGGCAGCUCUUGAGGCUGACGCCCGUCUUGGCGCUGAUGUCGUCCAGGUCCUUCUUGGUGCCCUUGGAGAGCUUCUUGCCCAGCACCUCCCGGGCGAAGGCCUCGUCGAAGGUGUAGUACCUGCGGCGGGAAGGGGCAAAAUUACCCCCCGGGACCCCAAAACAGCACCUUCAUGCCCCAAAAUACCCCUGGGGACCCCCAAACAGCACCUCAGUGCCCCAAAAUACUCUCUGGGACCCCAAAAAACCCCUGGGGACCCCAAAACAGCACCUUCAUGCCCCAAAAUACCCCUGGGGACCCCCAAACAGCACCUCAGUGCCCCAAAAUACUCUCUGGGACCCCAAAAAACCCCUGGGGACCCCAAAACAGCACCUUCAUGCCCCAAAAUACCCCUGGGGACCCCCAAACAGCACCUCAGUGCCCCAAAAUACUCUCUGGGACCCCAAAAAACCCCUGGGGACCCCCAAACAGCACCUUCAUGCCCCAAAAUCCCCCUGGGGACCCCCAAACAGCACCUCAGUGCCCCAAAAUACUCUCUGGGACCCCAAA
rnacentral:lncRNA from 1 species